rnacentral:rRNA from 1 species
UACGUAGGGGGGCAAGCGUUGUCCGGAAUUAUUGGGCGUAAAGCGCGCGCAGGCGGUCAUUUAAGUCUGGUGUUUAAUCCCGGGGCUCAACCCCGGAUCGCACUGGAAACUGGGUGACUUGAGUGCAGAAGAGGAGAGUGGAAUUCCACGUGUAGCGGUGAAAUGCGUAGAUAUGUGGAGGAACACCAGUGGCGAAGGCGACUCUCUGGGCUGUAACUGACGCUGAGGCGCGAAAGCGUGGGGAGCAAACAGG